AUACUGCCACUGCGCAGGGGAGAUACCAUGAUCACAAAGGUGGUUUUCCCAGGGUGAAGCUUAUCCAUUGCACUGCGGAUAUGCUGUCCCCUGCGAUUUCCCCUAAUAUGGGAAACUCGACUGCAUAAUUUGUGGAUCUAGGGGACUGUGUUCGCGAUCUCCCCUG